rnacentral:rRNA from 1 species
AACGAACGCUGGCGGCAGGCUUAACACAUGCAAGUCGAACGGAUGUAGCAAUACAUCAGUGGCAGACGGGUGAGUAACACGUGGGAACCUUCCUCGUUGUACGGGACAACUCAGGGAAACUUGAGCUAAUACCGUAUACGUCCGAGAGGAGAAAGAUUUAUCGCAAUGAGACGGGCCCGCGUCGGAUUAGCUAGUUGGUGGGGUAACGGCCUACCAAGGCGACGAUCCGUAGCUGANCUGAGAGGAUGAUCAGCCACACUGGGACUGAGACACGGCCCAGACUCCUACGGGAGGCAGCAGUGGGGAACCUUGGACAAUGGGCGCAAGCCUGAUCCAGCCAUGCCGCGUGAGUGAAGAAGGCCUGCGGGUUGUAAAGCACUUUCGAUGGGAACGAAAUGUGCCGGGCUAAUAUCCCGGCAAGCUGACGUUACUCAAUGAAGAAGCACCGGCUAACUCUGUGCCAGCAGCA